rnacentral:rRNA from 1 species
GACGAACGCUGGCGGCGUGCCUAAUACAUGCAAGUAGGACGCAGUUGCGAACGGGUGAGUAACACGUAGGUAACCGCCGAUCAGAGGGGGAUAACUAAUGGAUACGAAAGCUAAUACCGCAUAUUAGUAGAUGGACCUGCGUUGUAUUAGAUAGGAGGUUGGGUAAUUGACUACCUAGGCGACGGUACAUAGCCGACCUGGGAAGGUGGACGGCCAAGCAGGGGCUUGAACACGGCCCAGGAUCCGACGGUCGGCAGCAGUAGGGAAACUUCGGCAAUGGGAGGAAACCUGGCCAGGCAACGGCGCGGGAGUGAAGAAAGUUUUCGGAUCAUAAAGAUCUGUUGUUAAGGGAGCGGUACUUAACCAGAAAGGGACGGCUAACUACGUGCCAGCAGCCGCGGUAAUAC